ensembl:lncRNA
AAACAUGUGGUUUGUGAAGAGAAAGAAUGAAAGUGUGGGGGAUGAGGAACCUUUGAUUUCUGAGUGGCCGCAUGAUCACCUAUAUAAUCGAGUAGCAGCUAUGCUGUGUUCAGUUACUAAAGGUGAGGCCAUAGUGAGAAGGCAGCCAUUGGCAGUCCAGGAAGAGUUUUCUCACCAGAAACCAAAUUGGCUAGGUAGCACCUUGAUCUUGGACUUCGCAGCCUCCAGAACUAGCACAGAGUGCCUCAUUCCUGAUCUCCACCCUGAACUUCUUUCAAGGUGUGAUGAAGGUCACCCGCUGCAAUGACUAGUGACUUAAUCCUUGUGGAGGCAGAUGUGAGUCUGGGUUUGGUCAUAUCGAAGUUUUGAUCAGUGAGGCAUUUGCCAAAGUGAUGCAGAGACUUGACACAUUCGUGUACUUCCGCACUGAGGCUCACCCUCCCAGAAUUCUCCCACUUGGAACUCAGGAGCCAUUUUAUAAGUCAGUACCGCCUCUACUGCUGGAGGCAGGUCUUAUGAAGAGGCCCUGGAGAAGGCAGCAUCACAGGAAGAGCUGGCAGCUGGAAGAAUAGCUGAGUUGACUGGAGCAGUCAACUCCAAGGACCAUGGACAGAUAGAAGAGAGACCAUCUUGGAUCUUCCAGCCCAGCCUGUCUAGAUGAACACAACCUCAGAGUGAACCCAUUGGAUCAGAAAAAGAGCCCUGUCAACUUCAGAAACAUGAAAAUAGUAUAUCCCUGUUGUUUUAAGCUGCUAAGUUUUAGAAUGGUGUAUUAUUCCAGCAGCUUUAUAUAAGAAACAUCACAUAAGAUAUUUAAUUCAGACCUGGGUACUGAGGAAUUUUGCUUUCUCAUGUAAAUGUAUUACACUAAAAGCCAAAAUAAGUAUACAUUUCUUUCAUUCUACAAUAUACUCAAUUUCCAAAGUACUUUGAAAUCUUUACUAAAGUAUAAACUUGAGACCUUUUUCAUACCAUCCCUCUCUUACCAAAAUCUUAUUUGUAAUGAAAUCAUUUAACAAAACGCAAAUAAUUCCAUUAUUAUUUAAAUCUAUUUUAAGUGAAAUGCUAUGUAAAUCUUUGCUUUAACUGCUAAGAGCUGUCAUUACAGGAUUUAUAGUCUAUAUUGAUUAAUAAUACCAGGCUGUGUUUCACACUCCUUAAUGAAAUUUUGACCUUAUUUGCUCUUAAAAAUACCUCCUCUCUCAAAAGCUGUUAUUCUGCUGAAUGUUUUUUCAAAUGCUUGAGGAGUCAUACUGUGUAAUAUUGGCUAUACUUCACAGUGUGCAACAUUAUAUUCCAUGUGUGUUUUACUAUUAAGUGAUUUUAUUUUGUAGUCUUGCUAGUACCAUCAUAUAAUUAAAUUGUAAGCUCAUGUGGUGUAAAGGUCAGAUACAUUAAAUGUAC